GACGAACGCUGGCGGCGUGCCUAAUACAUGCAAGUCGACCUUAGUGGCGGACGGGUGAGUAAUGCCCAGGAAUCUGCCGGGUAGCGGGGGAUAACGUCCGGUAACGGGCGCUAAUACCGCAUAUUACCAGUUGAGCCUAGGUCGGAUUAGCUGGUUGGUGGGGUAUAGGCCUACCAAGGCGACGACCCGUAACUGGUCUGAGGGGAUGACCAGUCACACUGGAACUGAUACACGGUCCAGACUCCUACGGGAGGCAGCAGUGGGGAAUAUUGGACAAUGGGCGAAAGCCUGAUCCAGCCAUGCCGCGUGUGUUAAGAAGGUCUUCGGAUUGUAAAGCACUUUAAGUUGGGAGGCGUUACCCACAGAAUAAGCACCGGCUAACUUCGUGCCAGCAGCCGCGGUAAUAC
rnacentral:rRNA from 1 species